rfam:Schistosoma rodhaini strain Burundi genome assembly, scaffold: SROB_scaffold0007050
AUCCAGAUGACGAGUCCCAUGUGGGACGAAACGCGCAUCCUGGAU